rnacentral:rRNA from 1 species
AGUGAACGCUGGCGGUAUGCCUAACACAUGCAAGUCGAACGGCAGCACAGUAAGAUCUUGCUCUUACGGGUGGCGAGUGGCGGACGGGUGAGGAAUACAUCGGAAUCUACUUUUUCGUGGGUGAUAACGUAGGGAAACUUACGCUAAUACCGCAUACGACCUACGGGUGAAAGCAGGGGAUCUUCGGACCUUGCGCGAUUGAAUGAGCCGAUGUCGGAUUAGCUAGUUGGCGGGGUAAAGGCCCACCAAGGCGACGAUCCGUAGCUGGUCUGAGAGGAUGAUCAGCCACCCUGGAACUGAGACACGGUCCAGACUCCUACGGGAGGCAGCAGUGGGGAAUAUUGGGCAAUGGGCGCAAGCCUGAUCCAGCCAUACCGCGUGGGUGAAGAAGGCCUUCGGGUUGUAAAGCCCUUUUGUUGGGAAAGAAAAGCAGCAGGUUAAUACCCCGCUGUUCUGACGGUACCCAAAGAAUAAGCACCGGCUAACUUCGUG